CACGCAGGCGGUCUGCCAAGUUCGGAGUGACAGUUUCCGGCUUAACUGGAAAAGGUCUUCGAAAACUGGUGGACUUGAGAACUUGAGGGGGAGACGGAAUUCCGGGUGGAGCGGUGAAAUGCGUAGAGAUCCGGAGGAACACCGAAGGCGAAGGCAGUCUCCUGGCAAGUUUCUGACGCUCAGGUGCGAAAGCUAGGGGAGCGAACA
rnacentral:rRNA from 1 species